UUCGUCUUCUGGGUCUCCCUCUCUCCUGUUCUGGGUAUCUCUUUCUCUCUCUUAUGGGAUAAUGAGGAGAGACUGGUUCAGAAUCAUGGUAUACAAGUCCUUGUAGUGGCAAUUUGAUUUGCAAACUGGGACGGCGAAUAGUGUAUUACUUUCAGUGGUUCCUUCAAUCGUUUCAGCGCAGUGGAAUAUGAUGAGAUCUUUCGAAUUGAAUCUCAACAGAUCAAGUUCUGUAAAUCCAUGAUAUCAUCAGAGGGUGAGCUCAGAUGGUCUACCUUUGAGCAAUGGUAAAAGAUCCGAUUCCAAUUCAAGUGAAGCAAAAGGUUGCCUAGAUUUAGAUCCCCAUCUAAGACCCCAGACCAGAAUUUGUCUCAUUUCGACGGUGGCAGCGUUGGUGGUGGCGGUGUUGGUGGUGGAGGUGGUGUUCCCCGUUCUCCAGCUCAGUCUGAUAACAACCAUCAACACCAAUAUGAGGCCAUCCCAGCAAGGACCAAUAGUCCCAGCUGCAAUGGAGGUGGUGGAGGUGAUGUGCUGUUGCAAUGGGGACACAGGAAGAGGUCAAGGUGCUCGAGGGCUGAUGUCCGUGUGGCGGCGGUGGUGGCAGCCACGGACGAGUCAUAGUCGUCAAUUCAGCUUCAACCAAGGCAACCCAUCAAAGUUCAAAGGAGAUUAAUGCAGUGAAACCCAAUUCCAGGUGUGGUGGCGGCGGCGGAUAAGCUCCCAACCACCACCACCAUCACCAUUGAUCGCCCAGCCAUGCCACCGCCACCACCGCCCCUUCCUUCUUCUGUUAAUUCAACUGCUUCACUAUCUAAUGGCAAGAAAAGCUCCGGCAUUUUUGCAAACCGGAGGAGUUUGGAAGAAAGAUGUGGUGUUGCAAAUGGGAGCCCAUCGAGCAACGACAGUGGCAGCAGCAGUCGCCGGGUUGUGUCUAGAUAUACGGUGGGAAAACGAUCUCCUACUCUUUCAGAGAAAUUCGAUAGAAAGGCCCCUCCUACCGGAGGAUCAUCCCGGGAUCAUAAGUUGAAUGGGGUUGCCUUCAAGCAAGCAGCAACAAUUUCAGCAGUAGCAGAUGAAAUGAAUUGUAUUGAUUCUGCUCUGUUGCAACCAGAGAAACAAGUUGUUUGUAAUGAUCAUAAUCGGAAUAAUACUGGUAAUGGGGGGAUGGUGACCGGAGGAGAGAAGGCGAAUGGUGAGGUGGUUGAGUGGCCUAGGAUUUACAUCCCUCUAACAAGGAAGGAGAAAGAAGAGGAUUUUUUGGCAAUGAAAGGCACAAAACUUCCUCAUAGACCUAAGAAAAGGGCUAAGACCAUUGAGAGAAUUCUCCAGUGUGUGUUUUUGGCAGUAUUGUUUUCCUGGGAUGUGGCUGUCUGACUUAACAAGAGGAAGAUAUGAAGUUAGGGAAAAGAAAUGUGCAAAGAAGGGGACAAAUUACGAGUUUGUGAAAACUGCGCAUGCAAACGUGGUGGGUAUUUCUCAUUUCAUCUUGUUCCUGGCUUUUGUGGCCAAGGAUAAGGAUGAUGCUGAUGGUCAGCCUGAAAUUUUUCGUGCUAAUGUGUUCGAGGGAAACCACUGACCAAUCUACGUGACCAAGACUAAUGAGUUAGGGUUAGGGUUUUUCUGUUGUGCAAUCGUAUGGCUUCUUCCGUCUCCCAUGUCACUUCUGAACCACCACAAAAGUCUUAUGGACAACCAGGAAAGGGGCUGAACAUCCGUGAUGUGUUGACUGAUGAACAGAUAGCCUUGUACCGUGAAGCGGUUCUCGUAAAAGGAGGGCUUUUUGCUCCAAAAUUUCACCCCCACAAGAAUUCAGAUUCAGUCAUUGGUUACUGUCGAUCAUCAAUUCAGCAGUACAAUAAAAUGAAUGUAUGCAAGGGGACAAAUUACGAGUUUGUGAGAACUUUUGGGGCAAACGUUUUGGGUGUUAAUUUCUUCUUGUGCCUUAACUUUGAGGCCAAGGAUAAGGAUGAUGCUGAUGGUCAGUCUAAUAUUUUUUGUGCUAAUGUGUUCGAGGGAAACCGACCAAUCCGCGUGGCUAAGACUCAUGAGGUUCAUAUGCUAAAGGAUAAUCUGGAUAUUUCAAAUGUAAACUCUUUUAAUUUGAGAGCUGCAACGUCUGCUGCUCUCCUUCUUUUGCCAUCCAAAUUCAACGAGGAAGAUCUCUAUGCCAAAAUAUGCAGCCUCUCAUAUAUGGUUGAUCUGUGUAUGCUUUUUGCAGAAGAUAAAAAUAAGGUUCAUAUACUAAAGGAUAAUCUGGAUAUUUCAAAUGUAAACUCUGUUAAUUUGAGAGCUGCAACAUCUGCUGCUCUCCUUCUUUUGCCAUCUAAAUUCAACAGCAUCUGCUGCUCUCCUUCUUUUGCCAUCUAAAUUCAAUGAGGAAGAUAUCUAUGCCAAAAUAUGUAGCCUCUCAUAUACGGGUGAUCUGCGUAUGCUUUUUAUUGAAGAUAAAAAUAAGGUGAAGAAGAUUGUGCAAGGGCCUUAUCUAGAAGAACACGCGACCAAUGACUUGUUGAGAUUUUCAUCAUCUGGUGCUCACCAAGUAAAUAUAUCUCAGGUCCAUUCAAAUCCUUGAGUUCUCAAUUCCCAGAGCAGCUUUAAUCUUGUAUCUUUCUUUUCUAUUGUUAUGAAAGGGUCCAAUAUUUCCUUAUUAAUUAUUCAAACAAUCAUUUUUAUUCGGGGGCUCUAGUCACGGCAGGAAUAUAUUUGUAAUUUCAGUGUUGAAACAUGAUACUCUCUACCUUCCUUUGAUCUACUAGGAUCAUAUAAAGGCAGUGUAGCUGGCAUGAAAUAUUCAUUAUUGUACUUUUGUCUGAUAUGUUUCAAUCUGUCCACACCAGGACUCUAGUUUAUCUGCAGUUUCCUCCCUUGUUUCUAUUCUUCCUGCGACGAUCAGAAGCCAAAUGAUGGUGAGACUAGGAGAAGAGAAAAAAGUUGAUAAAUCUGGUAUGAA